ensembl:snoRNA SNORA70 Small nucleolar RNA SNORA70
UAGCAUGACAAAAUAGAUUUCCUUUGUCAUGAUAAUAAAGAACAAUACCCCGAGGGCCCAAUGUGCAAUGGUUGCAAACAGCAGCCUCCUCAGUAAUGUAUACAGUCUGUUGCCUGUAUAGGUUGCCCUAAGGGACCUUGGAGACAACU